rnacentral:rRNA from 1 species
GCGAUCGGCGAAAACACGUUGAAUGCAUGAUUGCAUAUGCAUAGGUUCACCAUGAAUCACUAAAGUUAAGCAACGCAGUGCGUGGUUGGUAUUCGGGUGGGUGACCAUCUGGACGGCUUUUUGGCGAUUUUU